rnacentral:rRNA from 1 species
ACAUGCAAGUCGAGCGAGGACUUCGGCCUAGCGGCGACGGUGAGUAACGCGUGGGAAUAUGCCCAAAGGUACGGAAUAGCCUCGGGAAACUGGGAGUAAUACCGUAUGUGCCCUUCGGGGGAAAGAUUUAUCGCCUUUUGGAUUAGCCCGCGUUGGAUUAGGUAGUUGGUGGGGUAAUGGCCUACCAAGCCCGACGAUCCAUAGCNGGUUUGAGAGGAUGAUCAGCCACACUGGGACUGAGACACGGCCCAGACUCCUACGGGAGGCAGCAGUGGGGAAUCUUAGACAAUGGGGGAAACCCUGAUCUAGCCAUGCCGCGUGAGCGAUGAAGGCCUUAGGGUUGUAAAGCUCUUUCAGCUGGGAAGAUAAUGACGGUACCAGCAGAAGAAGCCCCGGCUAACUCCGUG